rnacentral:lncRNA from 1 species
CAGUGAAACCUUCCAUCACAUGGCAUUUUGCCUACUUGUUUGACAGCACUGUGCCUCAGAUGGAUGUUCUGAGUGUAAAUAACAGAAAGAGCAAGCAGGCAGCGGUGAGGAGGAUGGAUUGAAAGCUGAGAGACUGAAGGCAGCAUUUGUAGAGGGAGUAAGACUAAAGCUAGAGAUGAAAAUUUUG